UUAAGUUAUUAAGGGCGCACGGUGGAUGCCUUGGCACUAGAAGCCGAUGAAGGACGUUACUAACGACGAUAUGCUUUGGGGAGCUGUAAGUAAGCUUUGAUCCAGAGAUUUCCGAAUGGGGAAACCCAGCAUGAGUUAUGUCAUGUUAUCGAUAUGUGAAUACAUAGCAUAUCAGAAGGCACACCCGGAGAACUGAAACAUCUUAGUACCCGGAGGAAGAGAAAGAAAAUUCGAUUCCCUUAGUAGCGGCGAGCGAAACGGGAAGAGCCCAAACCAACAAGCUUGCUUGUUGGGGUUGUAGGACACUCUAUACGGAGUUACAAAGGACGACAUUAGACGAAUCAUCUGGAAAGAUGAAUCAAAGAAGGUAAUAAUCCUGUAGUCGAAAAUGUUGUCUCUCUUGAGUGGAUCCUGAGUACGACGGAGCACGUGAAAUUCCGUCGGAAUCUGGGAGGACCAUCUCCUAAGGCUAAAUACUCUCUAGUGACCGAUAGUGAACCAGUACCGUGAGGGAAAGGUGAAAAGCACCCCGGAAGGGGAGUGAAAUAGAACCUGAAACCGUGUGCUUACAAGUAGUCAGAGCCCGUUAAUGGGUGAUGGCGUGCCUUUUGUAGAAUGAACCGGCGAGUUACGAUUUGAUGCAAGGUUAAGCAGUAAAUGUGGAGCCGUAGCGAAAGCGAGUCUGAAUAGGGCGUUUAGUAUUUGGUCGUAGACCCGAAACCAGGUGAUCUACCCUUGGUCAGGUUGAAGUUCAGGUAACACUGAAUGGAGGACCGAACCGACUUACGUUGAAAAGUGAGCGGAUGAACUGAGGGUAGCGGAGAAAUUCCAAUCGAACCUGGAGAUAGCUGGUUCUCUCCGAAAUAGCUUUAGGGCUAGCCUCAAGUGAUGAUUAUUGGAGGUAGAGCACUGUUUGGACGAGGGGCCCCUCUCGGGUUACCGAAUUCAGACAAACUCCGAAUGCCAAUUAAUUUAACUUGGGAGUCAGAACAUGGGUGAUAAGGUCCGUGUUCGAAAGGGAAACAGCCCAGACCACCAGCUAAGGUCCCAAAAUAUAUGUUAAGUGGAAAAGGAUGUGGCGUUGCCCAGACAACUAGGAUGUUGGCUUAGAAGCAGCCAUCAUUUAAAGAGUGCGUAAUAGCUCACUAGUCGAGUGACACUGCGCCGAAAAUGUACCGGGGCUAAACAUAUUACCGAAGCUGUGGAUUGUCCUUUGGACAAUGGUAGGAGAGCGUUCUAAGGGCGUUGAAGCAUGAUCGUAAGGACAUGUGGAGCGCUUAGAAGUGAGAAUGCCGGUGUGAGUAGCGAAAGACGGGUGAGAAUCCCGUCCACCGAUUGACUAAGGUUUCCAGAGGAAGGCUCGUCCGCUCUGGGUUAGUCGGGUCCUAAGCUGAGGCCGACAGGCGUAGGCGAUGGAUAACAGGUUGAUAUUCCUGUACCACCUAUAAUCGUUUUAAUCGAUGGGGGGACGCAGUAGGAUAGGCGAAGCGUGCGAUUGGAUUGCACGUCUAAGCAGUAAGGCUGAGUAUUAGGCAAAUCCGGUACUCGUUAAGGCUGAGCUGUGAUGGGGAGAAGACAUUGAGUCUUCGAGUCGUUGAUUUCACACUGCCGAGAAAAGCCUCUAGAUAGAAAAUAGGUGCCCGUACCGCAAACCGACACAGGUAGUCAAGAUGAGAAUUCUAAGGUGAGCGAGCGAACUCUCGUUAAGGAACUCGGCAAAAUGACCCCGUAACUUCGGGAGAAGGGGUGCUCUUUAGGGUUAACGCCCAGAAGAGCCGCAGUGAAUAGGCCCAAGCGACUGUUUAUCAAAAACACAGGUCUCUGCUAAACCGUAAGGUGAUGUAUAGGGGCUGACGCCUGCCCGGUGCUGGAAGGUUAAGAGGAGUGGUUAGCUUCUGCGAAGCUACGAAUCGAAGCCCCAGUAAACGGCGGCCGUAACUAUAACGGUCCUAAGGUAGCGAAAUUCCUUGUCGGGUAAGUUCCGACCCGCACGAAAGGCGUAACGAUUUGGGCACUGUCUCAACGAGAGACUCGGUGAAAUCAUAGUACCUGUGAAGAUGCAGGUUACCCGCGACAGGACGGAAAGACCCCGUGGAGCUUUACUGUAGCCUGAUAUUGAAAUUCGGCACAGCUUGUACAGGAUAGGUAGGAGCCUUUGAAACGUGAGCGCUAGCUUACGUGGAGGCGCUGGUGGGAUACUACCCUAGCUGUGUUGGCUUUCUAACCCGCACCACUUAUCGUGGUGGGAGACAGUGUCAGGCGGGCAGUUUGACUGGGGCGGUCGCCUCCUAAAAGGUAACGGAGGCGCUCAAAGGUUCCCUCAGAAUGGUUGGAAAUCAUUCAUAGAGUGUAAAGGCAUAAGGGAGCUUGACUGCGAGACCUACAAGUCGAGCAGGGUCGAAAGACGGACUUAGUGAUCCGGUGGUUCCGCAUGGAAGGGCCAUCGCUCAACGGAUAAAAGCUACCCCGGGGAUAACAGGCUUAUCUCCCCCAAGAGUUCACAUCGACGGGGAGGUUUGGCACCUCGAUGUCGGCUCAUCGCAUCCUGGGGCUGUAGUCGGUCCCAAGGGUUGGGCUGUUCGCCCAUUAAAGCGGUACGCGAGCUGGGUUCAGAACGUCGUGAGACAGUUCGGUCCCUAUCCGUCGUGGGCGUAGGAAAUUUGAGAGGAGCUGUCCUUAGUACGAGAG
rnacentral:rRNA from 1 species